GGGCUCAUGGCCUAGUCAGGAUAGGGCGCAGGCCUGCGGAGCCUGUGAUCGUGGGUUCAAAUCCCGCUGAGCCCGCCA
rnacentral:tRNA from 1 species